UAUGUGAUCGUCUCUCGCAUAUCAAUAAGCGGAGGAAAAGAAACUAACAAGGAUUCCCCUAGUAACGGCGAGUGAAGCGGGAAGAGCUCAAAUUUGAAAUCUUAAAGGGUUUCCCUUUACGAAUUGUAGUUUAAAGAAGUGUUUUCUGUUGAGGUUUUGGUAAAAGUUCUUUGGAAUAGGACAUCAUAGAGGGUGAGAAUCCCGUAUUUGACCUUUACUUUCAACUUUGUGAUACACUUUCAAAGAGUCGGAUUGUUUGGGAAUGCAGUCCAAAAUGGGUGGUAAAUUUCAUCUAAAGCUAAAUAUUGGCGAGAGACCGAUAGCGAACAAGUACCGUGAGGGAAAGAUGAAAAGAACUUUGAAAAGAGAGUUAAACAGUACGUGAAAUUGUCAAAAGGGAAGCGUUUGACACCAGUGUUGUUUUUCUGAAAAUCAAUUAAAGAACUGUUUAUGCUAAGCUGUUUAGACUUUAUCAGCUAACUGUUUAGUUUUGAGCUUUUCUUUAAUGCACUUUUCAGUUAACAAGUCAACAUCAAUUUCUUUUGCUGUAAAAAAGCUUGAAGGAAGGUGGCUGAGAUUCGUCUUAAGUGUUUAUAGCCUCUUGCCUAUGCAGUCGGAGAGAUUGAGGUCUGCAGCGUAGAUCCUUCGGGGCUAAAUGCAUUUGUGCUAAGUUAUAGCAUUUUAUAGACAACUUGUUGACUAUGAUUUGUCUUGUAGCUUACUCGCUUAUGUUAUUUUACCUACGCUUAGGAUGUUGAAGACUCUACAGAGAUA
rnacentral:rRNA from 1 species